GAAUUCCUGAGGUGUUCGAUACCCUGCUAUUUUGAACCUACAUUUUUUUGAAGGGUUUUCUACAUUGCCGAUUGGAUGUCAGGCCGCCAUAUUGCAGCGGAAGACAGAAAGAGAGGCUGCGGUUACCCACCUGGCUUUGGCUAGGACUCAAAAUUGCAGGAAACGGCAUUUUGGGUUUUUC
rnacentral:other from 1 species